AUACCGUGAAACUGCGAAUGGCUCAUUAAAUCAGUUAUCGUUUAUUUGAUAGUACCUUACUACUUGGAUAACCGUGGUAAUUCUAGAGCUAAUACAUGCUGAAAACCCCGACUUCGGGAGGGGUGUAUUUAUUAGAUAAAAAACCAACGCCCUUCGGGGCUUCUUGGUGAUUCAUGAUAACUUCACGGAUCGCAUGGCCUUGCGCCGGCGACGGUUCAUUCAAAUUUCUGCCCUAUCAACUUUCGAUGGUAAGGUAUUGGCUUACCAUGGUUUCAACGGGUAACGGGGAAUUAGGGUUCGAUUCCGGAGAGGGAGCCUGAGAAACGGCUACCACAUCCAAGGAAGGCAGCAGGCGCGCAAAUUACCCAAUCCCGACACGGGGAGGUAGUGACAAUAAAUACUGAUACAGGGCUCUUUUGGGUCUUGUAAUUGGAAUGAGUACAAUUUAAACCUCUUAACGAGGAACAAUUGGNNNNNNNNNNNNNNNNNNNNNNNNGCGGUAAUUCCAGCUCCAAUAGCGUAUAUUAAAGUUGUUGCAGUUAAAAAGCUCGUAGUUGAAACUUGGGCCUGGCUGGCAGGUCCGCCUCACCGCGUGUACUUGUCCGGCCGGGCCUUUCCUUCUGGAGAACCUCAUGCCCUUCACUGGGUGUGUUGGGGAACCAGGACUUUUACUUUGAAAAAAUUAGAGUGUUCAAAGCAGGCCUUUGCUCGAAUACGUUAGCAUGGAAUAAUAGAAUAGGACGUGCGGUCCUAUUUUGUUGGUUUCUAGGACCGCCGUAAUGAUUAAUAGGGACAGUCGGGGGCAUCAGUAUUCAAUUGUCAGAGGUGAAAUUCUUGGAUUUAUUGAAGACUAACUACUGCGAAAGCAUUUGCCAAGGAUGUUUUCAUUAAUCAGUGAACGAAAGUUAGGGGAUCGAAGACGAUCAGAUACCGUCGUAGUCUUAACCGUAAACUAUGCCGACUAGGGAUCGGGCGAUGUUCUUUUUCUGACUCGCUCGGCACCUUACGAGAAAUCAAAGUUUUUGGGUUCUGGGGGAGU
rnacentral:rRNA from 1 species